AGGUGGUCUAAAUUCCCAACAGCCACCAGCUUGGGCCAUGCAAAGCCAACGCCCAGGCCACCAGCCUGGGCCAUGCAGUGCACACACAUGGCUCACCAUCAACAAGCCAUGCCGCACCACCUAGCCAUGGACCAGCCCGAAGACCACCAUGCACCAUCCUAGCCCACCAUGGGCCCAUGCAUGCCACGGCCAAGCUUGGUCAAUGCCGCUAUCUUUUUAUUUUAUUUAU